rnacentral:rRNA from 1 species
UACGUAGGGUGCGAGCGUUGUCCGGAAUUAUUGGGCGUAAAGAGCUCGUAGGCGGUGUGUCGCGUCGGCCGUGAAAACCUGCAGCUUAACUGUGGGCUUGCGGUCGAUACGGGCAUCACUGGAGUUCGGCAGGGGAGACUGGAAUUCCUGGUGUAGCGGUGAAAUGUGCAGAUAUCGAGAGGAACACCUGCGGCGAAGGCGGGUAGCUGGGCCGACACUGACGCUGAGGCGCGAAAGCCAGGGGAGCGAACGGG